AUGGAUGAUGAAUUUUUUGCUCUCCAGACAAACCAUACCUGGCAUCUUGUUCCUUCUCGUCCAGGUCUUAAUGUGAUUGACUGCAAAUGGGUGUUUCGCAUCAAGAAAAAGUCAGAUGACACUAUUGACCACUAUAAAGCAAGCUUGGUUGCAAAAGGUUUCAAACAGAGGUAUGAGCUUGAUUAUGAGGACACUUUUAGUCCGGUUGUUAAAGCUGCCACUAUUCGCCUUGUUCUCUCCAUUGCUGUAUCCAUAGGCUGGACCCUUCGUCAACUAGACGUAAAGAAUGCGUUUCUUCAUGGCGUUCUGGAAGAGGAAGUCUAUAUGAAACAACCUCCUGGGUUUGUAGAUCCCCACAAGCCAUCUCAUAUUUGUCGACUGGACAAAUCUCUGUAUGGACUCAAACAGGCUCCACGAGCAUGGUAUUCUCGCUUGAGUUUUAAGCUUCAGGCUCUUGGCUUUGUUCCAUCAAAGUCUGACACUUCCUUGUUCAUUUAUAAUCAGCAUGCCACAGUUAUCUUUGUUCUUGUCUAUGUUGAUGACAUCAUUGUCACAAGUUCCUCUCAUGCCGCAGUCAUGGCUCUUUUGAAAGAUUAA
rnacentral:rRNA from 1 species